UAGAAGAUAAAGGUUUUUAUUUUAAAAAAGGUAUGGUUUUGAAUUUAAAAAUAUUACAGUUUCAGAGAUCAAAGUCAUGGGAACCCUAAAGGACAAGGAGAGAAGAACAUGGAUACAAGUAGCCUGUAGCUACCUUCAGAGGGAGACAUAUUCAAGAAAGGGUAUAAGGUUUCUCUUUUCCUUCAUCCACUCCAAUGGAGAAUUGCAAUGUCCGUGUGACUUGGAUAGGGGUCCAGACUGUGUAAUUCCUAAUGAAUCAUCAUUCUAUCCCUGUUUGGAAACUUGGACCACUGAGAGAGUCAGAGUGAAGCCUGAGAGAUGGAAUGACAAAUGUCACAGGUAACAAUCCUAGCCCUGCCCUAACCAAAUUCCAACCUUUUUAGAUAGUAUAGCACUAUUUGUGUAGUUCUAAGAAAGCUGAAAAUGUUCCUUCUCUAACAGUACCAGGUGAAAGAUUUCAUGCUUUAUUAAACACAUUUAUAAAGCAUUUUGAGAUGAUAGAAAUCUUAAAUCAGCACUUAUUCAGCUUUUAACUUCCAGUAGUAUAGCUCCAAAAUUUCUUAAAAAUGACCUUGAUUUUUUCUUUUCUCUUUUUGGUGCUAAAAUCACUGAAGAUAACCACCCUUAAGGAAAAGUUAAAUGAUCGCUUUCCCUGUUAAAUUGGGACAGAAUUAAUUUCCUGCCUGUAGCCUUGAGCAAAAGGGCAAGUCAAGUGUCAGCCUGACCGUGUUUCUCUUGCUAUUUUCAGCACAAUUGGCAAGAGGGGUAAACAAAAACCUAGCAGCUACAAAAAGCUUCUCAAGGAGAAUCUUCUACACUCAGAACUCUGUUGGUAUUUAUUCUCUGCUCUCAUCAGUCAACUACUUAGAAUUUGGGGGAGUCUAUGCUGUGUUACACUGCGUACUCUGGGGAUAUAAUGAUAUAUGGAAUAGCUAUAUCCUCAAAAAGCUUAGCAUCUAACAAUCACAUGGGUAAAACAAUAAAUGUUACAAAGAUGGGAGGAAAUAAGUAUUU
rnacentral:lncRNA from 1 species